rnacentral:rRNA from 1 species
UAGCGAACCAGUACCGUGAGGGAAAGGUGAAAAGCACCCCGACGAGGGGAGUGAAACAGUUCCUGAAACCGGAUGCCUACAAACAGUGGAAGCCCGCAAGGGUGACCGCGUACCUUUUGUAUAAUGGGUCAGCGACUUAGUCUGGCGAGCAAGCUUAAGCCGGUAGGUGUAGGCGCAGCGAAAGCGAGUCUGAACAGGGCGUUCAGUUCGUCGGAUUAGACCCGAAGCCUGGUGAUCUAGCCAUGAGCAGGUUGAAGGUGCGGUAACACGCACUGGAGGACCGAACCGGUGCCUGUUGAA